rnacentral:rRNA from 1 species
UACGAAGGGGGGCUAGCGUUGUUCGGAAUCACUGGGCGUAAAGCGUACGUAGGCGGAUUGUUAAGUCAGGGGUGAAAGCCCGAGGCUCAACCUCGGAAUUGCCUUUGAUACUGGCUGUCUUGAGUCCGGGAGAGGUGAGUGGAACUCCUAGUGUAGAGGUGAAAUUCGUAGAUAUUAGGAAGAACACCAGUGGCGAAGGCGGCUCACUGGCCCGGAACUGACGCUGAUGUACGAAAGCGUGGGGAGCAAACAGG